rnacentral:rRNA from 1 species
CCUACGGGAGGCAGCAGUGGGGAAUUGUUCACAAUGGGCGCAAGCCUGAUGACGCAACGCCGCGUGGGGGAUGAAGGUCUUCGGAUUGUAAACCCCUGUCGAGCGGGACGAAUGGCCCCUGGGCUAAUCACCAGGGGAAUGACGGUACCGCUAAAGGAAGCCACGGCUAACUCUGUGCCAGCAGCCGCGGUAAUACAGAGGUGGCAAGCGUUGUUCGGAAUUACUGGGCGUAAAGGGCGCGUAGGCGGCCAUCUAAGUCAGACGUGAAAUCCCCCGGCUUAACCUGGGAACUGCGUCUGAUACUGGACGGCUCGAGUUUGGGAGAGGGAUGUAGAAUUCCAGGUGUAGCGGUGAAAUGCGUAGAUAUCUGGAGGAAUACCGGUGGCGAAGGCGGCAUCCUGGACCAACACUGACGCUGAGGCGCGAAAGCUAGGGGAGCA